rnacentral:rRNA from 1 species
UACGUAGGGCGCAAGCGUUGUCCGGAAUUAUUGGGCGUAAAGAGCUCGUAGGUGGCUUGUCACGUCGGAUGUGAAAGCCCGGGGCUUAACUCCGGGUCUGCAUUCGAUACGGGCUGGCUAGAGUGUGGUAGGGGAGAUCGGAAUUCCUGGUGUAGCGGUGAAAUGCGCAGAUAUCAGGAGGAACACCGGUGGCGAAGGCGGAUCUCUGGGCCAUUACUGACGCUGAGGAGCGAAAGCGUGGGGAGCGAACAGG